CUGCUCACUUUUGCAGCACCUAUACUAAAAUUGGAAUGAUACAGAUAAGAUUAGCAUGAC
rnacentral:snRNA from 1 species